rnacentral:rRNA from 1 species
UACAGGGGGUGCAAACGUUGCUCGGAAUUAUUGGGCGUAAAGCGCGCGUAGGCGGUUACUUAAGUCGGAUGUGAAAGCCCUUGGCUCAACUGAGGAAGUGCAUCCGAAACUGAGUAGCUUGAGUACGAAAGAGGGUCGCGGAAUUCCCAGUGUAGAGGUGAAAUUCGUAGAUAUUGGGAGGAACACCGGUGGCGAAGGCGGCGACCUGGGUCGAGACUGACGCUGAGGCGCGAAAGCGUGGGGAGCAAACAGG